rnacentral:rRNA from 1 species
CGCAUCUGUGCAUGCAGCAUAUCAAUAAGCGGAGGAAAAGAAACUAACAAGGAUUCCCUUAGUAACGGCGAGUGAAGCGGGAAGAGCUCAAAUUUGAAAUCUUCAAGGCUUUACCUUGACGAAUUGUAGUUUAAAGAAGUGUUUUCUGUUGAAGUUUUGGUAAAAGUUCUUUGGAAUAGGACAUCAUAGAGGGUGAGAAUCCCGUAUUUGACCAUUAUUUUCAGCUGUGUGAUACACUUUCAAAGAGUCGGAUUGUUUGGGAAUGCAGUCCAAAAUGGGUGGUAAAUUUCAUCUAAAGCUAAAUAUUGGCGAGAGACCGAUAGCGAACAAGUACCGUGAGGGAAAGAUGAAAAGAACUUUGAAAAGAGAGUUAAACAGUACGUGAAAUUGUCAAAAGGGAAGCGUUUGACACCAGUGUUGUUUUCUCGAAAAUCAAUUAAAAAGAGUUAGAUUUUGUUGUGUAUUGACCUUAACAGCUUGCAUUUCAAUUUUCUUGCUUUUUUUAAUGCACUUUUCGUUUAACAAGUCAACAUCAGUUUCUUUUGUUGUAAAAAGGUCAUUGGAAGGUGGCUUUCUUUUCGGAGAAAGUGUUUAUAGCCUUUGACUCCUGCAAUCGGAGAGACUGAGGUCUGCAGCGUAGAUCCUUCGGGGUUAGAUACAUUUGUGCUAAGUUAUAGCUUUUUAUAGACAACUUGUUGACUAUGAUUAGUCUUGUAGCUUACUCGCUUAUGCUAUUUUACCUACGCUUAGGAUGUUGACACACGCGCGUGCUCGAGUCUAUACAUGACUCUGCGCAUAUCAAUAAGCGGAGGAAAAGGAAUGUCAUUACAGCGAAAUGAAACUACCUACGCUUAGGAUGUUGAUGUGAUACUGCGAGCA